AUGGACGUCGAGAUGCAGUCCAUCAUUGACAACAAGACAUGGGAGCUUGCUCAGCUCCCAGCUGGACACACGGCGAUCGGUCUCAAGUGGGUAUAUCGCGUCAAGCGCGACCCGGAUGGCAAGAUCAUCAAGUACAAGGCCCGCUUGGUGGCGAAAGGCUAUGUGCAGCGAGAAGGCGUGGACUUCGAGGAAGUUUUCGCGCCGGUGGCACGCAUGGAGACUGUGCGGCUGCUUCUUGCGCUCGCCGCGCACUCCGGCUGGGAGGUGCACCACAUGGAUGUAAAAUCCGCUUUUCUCAAUGGUGACCUCGCCGAGGAAGUGUACGUGGCGCAGCCGCCGGGGUACAUCACCGCCGGCAAGGAGCAGCAGGUCCUGCGGCUUCGGAAGGCACUCUACGGGCUACGGCAAGCUCCGAGGGCCUGGUACGCGAAGCUAGACGAGAGCAUGAGCAUGUUGGGGUUCACGCGCAGUCCACUGGAGCACGCCGUGUACCGCCGUGGCAAUGCUCACUCGUUCCUGCUAGUGGGCGUGUACGUCGACGACCUCAUCAUCACGGGCACUGACCAAGCAUCCAUCAUCGAGUUCAAGGGACAGAUGCAAGAGCUCUUCAAAAUGAGUGAUCUUGGUCUUCUAAGUUACUACUUGGGCAUUGAGGUAACACAAACCAGAGACUCCAUUACUUUGUGUCAGAGGAAUUAUGCAGAAAAAGUGCUCGAGGUGGCUGGAAUGGAUGGAUGUAAUGCAUGCCAAACUCCCAUGGAAUGCCGGCUCAAGCUGAAGAAAGAUGAUGAAGCAAAAUUGGUUGAUGCCUCGCUGUACCGUACCGUGAUUGGGAGCCUGAGAUACUUGGUUCACACCAGGCCAGACAUCACACAUGCGGUUGGGAUAGUGAGCAGGUUUAUGGAGAAGCCCACUGUGACUCACUGGACAGCCGUGAAGCAAAUCCUUCGGUAUGUGCGCGGCACUCUGAACUAUGGCUGCUGCUACCGGCGUGGCUCCGGCAAAGCUGAACUGAUUGGUUACAGUGACAGCGAUCACGCCGGAGAUGUUGGAGAUCGCAAGAGCACCUCGGGUCAGAUCUUCUUCCUUGGUGAGAACCCAGUGUCAUGGACCUCUCAAAAGCAAAAGAUUGUAGCCAUCAGCUCAUGUGAGGCGGAGUAUGUUGCAGCAGCCGCAGCCACUUGCCAAGGUCUUUGGUUGAGCCGUCUUCUUGCAGAGAUGAGAGGAGAAGAAGAAGCAAGCUCAUUCAAGCUUCUGAUUGACAACAAGUCUGCAAUCGCACUGGCCAAGAACCCCGUUCACCACGACCGAAGCAAACAUAUUGAUAUCAAGUUUCAUUUCAUCCGAGAUUGUGUUGAAACAAAGGAGGUGCAGAUUGAUCACGUUGGCACUGAUGAUCAGGUUGCUGAUGCCUUGACAAAAGCGCUGGGUCGGGUGAAGUUCGUCGAGCUGCGUCAGAGGCUGGGAGUGAAGGUAAUUAGCAAAGGACGCUGA
rnacentral:rRNA from 1 species